rnacentral:rRNA from 1 species
GCCAAAUAUCUAGCCCCAACAUGCCUCUGGCCUCAACUCAUUAUAUUUAUUAACUAAAACAUUCAUCAAAUCUAGUAGAGGUGAUCGAAAAAUUAAUCGGCGCAAUAUACCUAGUACCGCAAGGGAAAGACGAAAUAAAAGUGAAAACUUCAAGCGACAUAAAGCAGAGAUUCUACCUCGUACCUUUUGCAUCAUGGUCUAACUAGUCCAAUCAAGCAAAAAGACUUAAAGUUUGACACCCCGAAACUAAGCGAGCUACUUCAGGGCAGCCUAACGGGCGAAUCCGUCUCUGUCGCAAAAGAGUGGAAAGACCUUCAAGUAGUAGUGACAGGCCUAUCGAGCUUAGUGAUAGCUGGUUACUCAAGAAACGGACCUUAGUCCAACCUAAAGUUAAUUUAAUGUGACAAAAUCUUUUCUAUAACUUUAGAGCAAUUCAAAUAAGGUACAGCCUAUUUGAAACAGGAUACAACCUCAACUAACGGGUUCUACACCUGAUACACCCCCGCCUAAGUGGGCCUAAAAGCAGCCACCUUUCAAAGAGCGUCAAAGCUUAAUUCUCUUUCACCCCAAUCCCAAAACCCUCCCCCAACCCUUUUACAGUAAUGAGUAAUUCUAUACCCCUAUAGAAGUUUUUAUGUUAGAACUAGUAACAAGAAGAUGACCCUUCUCUUAAAUGCAAGUGUAACCCAGAAAGGACACACCACUGGGGAAUUAACACCCAUGAGCUACCAAUAGCAACGCUAUGAAAAACUCCUAUUUAUAGACAUGUUAACCUAACACAAGAGCAUUAAAAAGAAAGAUUAAGAGAAAAGAAGGAACUCGGCAAACAUUAACCUCGCCUGUUUACCAAAAACAUCGCCUCUCGUAUAAAUAUGAGAGGUCCAGCCUGCCCAGUGACUCUGUUCAACGGCCGCGGUAUCCUAACCGUGCAAAGGUAGCGUAAUCACUUGUCCUUUAAAUGAGGACUAGUAUGAACGGCACCACGAAGGUUACACUGUCUCCUUUUCCUAAUCAGUGAAACUGAUCUCCCCGUGAAGAAGCGGGGAUACACAUAUAAGACGAGAAGACCCUAUGGAGCUUUAAACGAAACAACAGCCGCCAUCUCAUUUAAAUUCCAGAGCAUCCACCCCAUAUUUUGGCGACAUGAUUGUUAGUUUUCGGUUGGGGUGACCGCGGAGAAUAAACCAACCUCCGCAUUGGAAGGGACCUCCCUCUAAGCAAAAAACCACAAUUUUACGCAUCAACAAAUUGACACCAAUUGACCCAAUAUUUUGAUCAACGAACCAAGUUACCCUAGGGAUAACAGCGCAAUCCAUUUUGAGAGCCCAUAUCGACAAAUGGGUUUACGACCUCGAUGUUGGAUCAGGGUACCCCAGUGGUGCAGCCGCUGCUAAAGGUUCGUUUGUUCAACGACUAAGACCCUACGUGA